rnacentral:rRNA from 1 species
ACCUGCCCGUAAGCUCGGGAUAACAUGGGGAAACUCAUGCUAAUACCGGAUAGGGUCUUCUCUCGCAUGAGAGGAGACGGAAAGGUGGCGCAAGCUACCACUUACGGAUGGGCCUGCGGCGCAAUAGCUAGUUGGUGGGGUAACGGCCUACCAAGGCGACGAUGCGUAGCCGACCUGAUAGGGUGACCGGCCACACUGGGACUGAGACACGGCCCAAACUCCUACGGGAGGCAGCACUAGGGAAUUUUCCACAAUGGACGAAAGUCUGAUGGAGCAACGCCGCGUGAACGAUGAAGGUCUUCGAGAUUGUAAAGUUCUGUUGUCAGAGACGAACAAUUACCGUUCGAACAGGGCGGUACCUUGACGGUACCUGACGAGAAAGCCACGGCUAACUACGUGCCAGCAGCCGCGGUAAUACGUAGGUGGCAAGCGUUGUCCGGAAUUAUUGGGCGUAAAACGCGCGCAGGCGGCUAUGUAAGUCUGGUGUUAAAGCCCGGGGCUCAACCCCGGUUCGCAUCGGAAACUGUGUAACUUGAAUGCGAAGAGGAAAGCGGUAUUCACGUGUAGCGGUGAAAUGCGUAAGAUGUGGAGGAAACCAGUGGCGAAGGCGGCUUUCUGGUCUGUAAUGACGCUGAGGCGCCAAACGUGGGGAGCAACAGGAUUAGAACCCUGGUAUUCCCGCCGUAACGAUCAUGCUAGUGUUAGGGGUUUCAUACCCUG